rnacentral:rRNA from 1 species
GUGGGGAUUAGUGGCGAACGGGUGAGUAACACGUGGGCAAUCUGCCCUGCACUCUGGGACAAGCCCUGGAAACGGGGUCUAAUACCGGAUACUGAACCGCUUGGGCAUCCAGGCGGUUCGAAAGCUCCGGCGGUGCAGGAUGAGCCCGCGGCCUAUCAGCUUGUUGGUGAGGUAACGGCUCACCAAGGCGACGACGGGUAGCCGGCCUGAGAGGGCGACCGGCCACACUGGGACUGAGACACGGCCCAGACUCCUACGGGAGGCAGCAGUGGGGAAUAUUGCACAAUGGGCGAAAGCCUGAUGCAGCGACGCCGCGUGAGGGAUGACGGCCUUCGGGUUGUAAACCUCUUUCAGCAGGGAAGAAGCGAAAGUGACGGUACCUGCAGAAGAAGCGCCGGCUAACUACGUGCCAGCAGCCGCGGUAAUACGUAGGGCGCGAGCGUUGUCCGGAAUUAUUGGGCGUAAAGAGCUCGUAGGCGGCUUGUCGCGUCGGUUGUGAAAGCCCGGGGCUUAACCCCGGGUCUGCAGUCGAUACGGGCAGGCUAGAGUUCGGUAGGGGAGAUCGGAAUUCCUGGUGUAGCGGUGAAAUGCGCAGAUAUCAGGAGGAACACCGGUGGCGAAGGCGGAUCUCUGGGCCGAUACUGACGCUGAGGAGCGAAAGCGUGGGGAGCGAACAGGAUUAGAUACCCUGGUAGU